rnacentral:rRNA from 1 species
GAUGAACGCUGGCGGCGUGCCUAAUACAUGCAAGUCGAGCGAACAGACUAGGAGCUUGCUCCUCUUACGUUAGCGGCGGACGGGUGAGUAACACGUGGAUAACCUUCCUAUAAGACUUGGAUAACUUCGUUAAACCGGAUCUACUACCGGAUAAUAUAUUCAACCGCAUUGUUCAAUAGUUCAAGACGGUUUUGCUGUCCCUUUUAGAUUGUUCCGCGCCGCAUUAGCUAGUUGGUAAGGUAACGGCUUACCAAGGCGACGAUGCGUAGCCGACCUGAGAGGGUGAUCGGCCACACUGGAACUGAGACACGGUCCAGACUCCUACGGGAGGCAGCAGUAGGGAAUAUUCCGCAAUGGGCGAAAGCCUGACGGAGCAACGCCGCGUGAGUGAUGAAGGUCUUCGGAUCGUAAAACUCUGUUAUUAGGGAAGAACAAAUGUGUAAGUAACUAUGCACGUCUUGACGGUACCUAAUCAGAAAGCCACGGCUAACUACGUG